UCCGGCUUGUCACCGGCGGUCUCGUCAGAGUUCCCAACUAAAUGAUGGCAACAGACGAUAAGGGUUGCGCUCGUUGCGGGACUUAACCCAACAUCUCACGACACGAGCUGACGACAGCCAUGCAGCACCUGUAUCCAAGCCAGCCGAACUGAAGAAAUCCAUUUCUGGAAAUCAUACUUGGUAUGUCAAGCGUAGGUAAGGUUCUUCGCGUUGCGUCGAAUUAAACAACAUACUCCACCGCUUGUGCGGGUCCCCGUCAAUUCCUUUGAGUUUUAAUCUUGCGACCGUACUCCCCAGGCGGUGUGCUUAAUGGUUUCCCUGCGCCGCCGAAGCCGUAAGCUCCAACAGCUAGCACACAUCGUUUACAGCGUGGACUAC
rnacentral:misc_RNA from 1 species